ACUCCUACGGGAGGCAGCAGUGGGGAAUAUUGCACAAUGGGGGAAACCCUGAUGCAGCCAUGCCGCGUGUGUGAAGAAGGCCUUCGGGUUGUAAAGCACUUUCAGUAGGGAGGAAGGUAGUGUAGUUAACACCUGCAUUAUUUGACGUUACCUACAGAAGAAGCACCGGCUAACUCCGUGCCAGCAGCCGCGGUAAUACGGAGGGUGCGAGCGUUAAUCGGAAUUACUGGGCGUAAAGCGCAUGCAGGCGGCCUGUUAAGUCAGAUGUGAAAGCCCGGGGCUUAACCUCGGAAUUGCAUUUGAAACUGGCAGGCUAGAGUCUUGUAGAGGGGGGUAGAAUUUCAGGUGUAGCGGUGAAAUGCGUAGAGAUCUGAAGGAAUAACCAGUAGGCG
rnacentral:rRNA from 1 species